GACGAACGCUGGCGGCGUGCCUAAUACAUGCAAGUAGAACGCUGAAGAGAGGAGCUUGCUCUUCUUGGCUGAGUUGCGAACGGGUGAGUAACGCGUAGGUAACCUGCCUUGUAGCGGGGGAUAACUAUUGGAAACGAUAGCUAAUACCGCAUAACAAUGGAUGACCCAUGUCAUUUAUUUGAAAGGGGCAAAUGCUCCACUACAAGAUGGACCUGCGUUGUAUUAGCUAGUAGGUGAGGUAACGGCUCACCUAGGCGACGAUACAUAGCCGACCUGAGAGGGUGAGCGGCCACACUGGGACGGAGACACGGCCCAGACUCCUACGGGAGGCAGCAGGAGGGAAUCUUCGGCAAUGGGGGCAACCCUGACCGAGCAACGCCGCGGGAGGGAAGAAGGUUGUCGGAUCGUAAAGCUCUGUUGUAAGUCAAGAACGAGUGUGAGAGUGGAAAGUUCACACUGUGACGGUAGCUUACCAGAAAGGGACGGCUAACUACGUG
rnacentral:rRNA from 1 species